rnacentral:ncRNA from 2 species
UAUUUUGCACUGCAUUUUGGUUGACAAUCCGCCACAGGCGAAUUUCAUUAAAAGGGAAUCAAGUUUAAAUCUUGAACUAUCCCCGUAGCUGUAAGCUCCGACUAAGUUGUUUAAUCCUCAUGCCACUGUCUUAUGGACGGGAAGGCUUUAAACAAUGGAGCAAGUCAGAAGACCUGCCAGAAUCAAACAUUUAGU